GGACCCGCACAAGUAGUGGAGCAUGUGGUUUAAUUCGAAGAUACGCGCAGAACCUUACCAACACUUGACAUGUUCGUCGCGACUUUAAGAGAUUAAAGUUUUCGGUUCGGCCGGACGAAACACAGGUGCUGCAUGGCUGUCGUCAGCUCGUGUCGUGAGAUGUUGGUUAAGUCCCGCAACGAGCGCAACCCUUGUUUUUAGUUGCCUUUUAUGGAACUCUAAAAAGACUGCCGGUGACAAACCGGAGGAAGGUGUGGAUGACGUCAAGUCCUCAUGGCCCUUACGGGUUGGGCUACACACGUGCUACAAUGGUAGUGACAAUGGGCUAAUCCCAAAAACUAUCUCAGU
rnacentral:rRNA from 1 species